rnacentral:lncRNA from 1 species
CAUCUGGAAUCCCUUGCAUUUUUCUGUUUGAGCAGCUGUGGUACUGAUCAAAUAAUAAGCAAUUGCUACUGCUCCCAGUGUUUAUGGAACAGAAAGGAAGCCUUUUCGACAAAGCCCGACGUGCAUCCGUCACACUAAGAAGCUCAAAAUGGGACCUUUAUCAACUGAUGCAAGGAGAAAUAUUUAUACUCCAAUGAUGUGCCAAUGAUGCAGCAGAUGUGGGAUGUGCAGGUGAACAGGUCAGACACACUCCAUUGCUGUCACUAGUUUGGUUCUUUCCUCCUUUACCGAGAACAGGUAUUCUCUGGAGGGGUUCCAAU